rnacentral:rRNA from 1 species
ACUACRACUCUCRACAAUGGAUAUCUCGGCUCUCRCUUCGAUGAAGAAUGUAGCGAAAUGCGAUACCUUGUGUGAAUUGCAGAAUCCCGUGAAUCAUCGAAUCUUUGAACGCAAGUUGCGCCCGAGGCCUAGGCUGAGGGCACGUCUGCCUGGGUGUCGUGAAA